UUUUGGUUACCAGUAAAUGCAGAUUCCAUGCACGCAGGGCUCUAACGGCAAGGCUCUGCACUGAGCAAAAUGUCAUCUCCAGCUUCAUCUCCUCAGCCCUUGUUUGCUGGGGCUGGGGACCCAGAGGGUCUCUGGGGGCACUGGCGUUAGCACAAAUGCUCACAAUUGUUCCCAAUUAAGUGGAUUUCUCUUUACUCAGGUCUCUUUGAUCCUUCAGAAAAAUAUCAACAGCAAUUUAGACGUUUGUGGCGCAUGUAAUACAUUUAAACUGUUAUGCUGCUAUUAUGUCGUGCCUGGAAAUAACAUGUAGCGUAUUUGUAAACGGCAAAUUGUGGUAUUGGCCUUUUGUUUCAGCUCUUGUGAGCCGCGUCCUUUCCAAAUCAAACUUGGGGGAAUAAUGUGUAAUAAGAGCAUGAAAAACAGAAACAACUGCCAUAUCUUGGGAGCAGCACCCUCUAUGUUCUCUGCAAUCAAAAGGAUCCCUGCCGCUGUCAAAGGUACAAUGAAAUGGGCUUUGGGGCUUUUAAGGUUGGAGAAGGGAAUUUCUGAUCGCUUGUUUGCUGCCACAGGGCAGCUGCUUGUCCCCAGAGGAGGCGAUGGCUGCGCACCGUUGAGAGAAGGCUGCACGAAGACAUCUUCAGAUGCAGGAAUUCAGCUGGAUAGCAGCGGCUGAGGAGAGCUGGGAGCCCCACUCCUGCCUGCUGGGAGCUUGUGGGUUGCUGGCAGCCCCAGGGGGACACAGCACCGUGCUUGGUGGGAGGAGAUGCAGAGGCAGCACACACAAGUGGCUGAGCCCCGCAGAGGAUUGGAGCAAGAGACCUACCUGUCCCCAGCUAUGCAGAGCACGUGUCCGUUUGGGGAUCAGUCCCUGCCUUGAAAGAAGGGACAAGAGGGAGUCACGGAAGCCGAUCUCCCCACGUGUUGCGGUGCCUGGUGUGCCGGGAAGUGUUCUGCUCAGCUGGCCGCUGACCUGCCCAGCGUGUGCCGCGCCGUGA
rnacentral:lncRNA from 1 species